rnacentral:rRNA from 1 species
UACGAAGGGGGGCUAGCGUUGUUCGGAAUUACUGGGCGUAAAGCGCGCGCAGGCGGUCUUCCAAGUCAGUGGUGAAAGCCCGGAGCUCAACUCCGGAACUGCCAUUGAAACUGUUAGACUUGAGGAUGAGAGAGGUGAGUGGAAUUCCCAGUGUAGAGGUGAAAUUCGUAGAUAUUGGGAAGAACACCGGUGGCGAAGGCGGCUCACUGGGCCUGUCCUGACGCUGAGGCGCGAAAGCUAGGGGAGCAAACAGG